AUCAGGCUUUGAGAAUUUGACUUCUAGUCAUAUUGUUGGAAGUUAUAAUCAUUUAAAACCAUGUUGCUACUAUAAAGCUGUCAUAAGUAAGACAGAGUGGUAUUGGCACAAUGGUAAACAAACUGACCAAUGAACAGAAAAAGUCCAAGAAACAGACCUGAACGUAGCGGUCACUUGAUUUAUGAGGAAGGUGACAUGCAGUGCAGUGAGUGAAGGGUGAUGUUUCCAAUAUGUAUUGCUGGGCCAAAGGAUAUUCAUACAGGAAAAGAAUAUAUUUUUGCUUUUGCUUUCCAACACACACAAAAUCACUUCCAAAUGGUUUGCAAAUCUAAAUGUGAAAGAUUAAACAAAGCUUUUAGGGGGAAAAAAGAUCUUUGUGACCUUGGAGUAGGCAAGGAUUUUUUUAAAAUAGGAUACAACGCUAGCCAUACAAGGGGGAAAAAUUGAUUAAUUGUGUUAAAAUUAAGAACUUUUAAUUCAUCAAAACUUUUAAUUCAGGGGCUGGCCCCGUGGCCGAGUGGUUAAGUUCGCGCGCUCCGCUGCAGGCGGCCCAGUGUUUCGUUGGUUCAAAUCCUGGGCGCGGACAUGGCACUGCUCAUCAGACCACGCUGAGGCAGCGUCCCACAUGCCACAACUAGAGGAACCCACAACGAAGAAUACACAACUAUGUACCGGGGGGCUUUGG
rnacentral:lncRNA from 1 species